AUAUUUUUAAAAUUGUACAUUAUAAUGUUAAUCCCCAAGAAAUAAUUUCUGAACGUUAGUAGCCAUUGAUCUUUUCAUUCGUCAAAAAAGCCGAUUGAAACGAUGGCGCCUUCGGGUUGGUCGGCGAUUGGUGAACGAAUUGUAGAGGGAAGGAAAAGAAAAAUGGCUAAACGGUGUAGAAGUCGAUAAAAAGAUCCGGAAAAAAGUUCAUCGACGAAGAAGCGGCGUGGUCACCCGAACGGUGAGGGCGGCUGCCGCUGAGCUGAUGGCGGCGGGCGGCGAGUUCGUGGACGGCUGGGUGGUGGCGCAGGUGCUGGGCGAGGGCGCCUACGGAGACUGCAUAUGGAGGGAGCUGCAAGGUAAUUAUAAUAAUAGUCUUUAAUUAGCAAUUGACAUGAAAAUAUGUGCUAUCUUAAUAUAUUUACGGCACCAGUAAAUUUUGUUGCUUUUGAGCGCAGGCCUCCUCUGAGACUUCGUGAUGGGUCAUUUUCUCAUGUUUUAAAUAGCUUUGUCUCUCGUGUACUGCACUGUUGUGGCCUUCACCCAAUUUGUUUUUAGUAUUUGCUUCAAAAGGCUAACUGAUUUCCUUUCUUGUCCUUUCUUCUGACACUUGACAUUCAAUAUGAUUGUGCCAUUUAUGUGUUAGGGCAACCAUGUACAAGGAAGUAUUGAUGAGUUAAUAUUUGAAUUUUAGUUUUAAUUUUUGUAUUUUUGGUGAUUUAUUUUAAUAAUCAAUACUUUCCCCACAUGUUACUAAUCCUGUUCUGUAAUUUAUAACCAACUUCAAAAAACGGAGAAGGUUCUCAAUUC
rnacentral:lncRNA from 1 species